ensembl:snoRNA
GAUCAAUGAUGGAACCUGUCCCGAAGCUGACUACCUGAAGAAAGGCCUGGU